UCGGGGGGAAACGUGCGGAGGGGCUCUGGCAGCCCGGGCCAGUCCAAGACGCGCAGCCACCCGAGCGCACGCGCUUGCAAGGCCACCGGCACCCAGGACUCCAGUGGGCGGCUGGGCGCCGGCGGUUUGCGGCCAGGUCAGCUCCCCGGCGCGCAAGGGGCGAGGGGAAGCUGGCGCCAGGAGCCUGAGGGUCCGGGAGCCCGGAGCGCCCAGAGACAGGCUCCUGCCAAGCUGCUCCGUUCCCUGGCACCCGGCUUGGUAAGGAACAGCAACUAGGUACUGGCCGCGGAAAACCAAGAUGCUGCAGUGGAUCCUUGGCCUCCAGAGCCCACUGCAGAGAAUAAGAUCUCUGGGCUGGCUGGCUCUAGACCAACAAGCAGGGCAACCAUGGAAAUGGUGUACGGGCACCUCAACAGGAGCCAUGGGCAGUUGGCCUCACUCUUUGACCUCAGUGACUCAGUGGUGGCAGCCAACAGAUCAAACCAGACACUAUACUAUGACAUGACCAGCAAUGCAAUCCUCACAUUCAUAUAUUUUGUGGUCUGCAUCAUUGGGUUGUGUGGCAACACACUUAUCAUUUAUUCAUUUUCCAUUAGGCCCAGAUGAAGACCAUCACCAACAUUUACAUCCUCAACCUGGCCAUUGCAGAUGAGCUCUUCAUGCUAGGGCUCCCCUUCUUGGCCAUGCAGGUGGCACUAGUCCACUGGCCCUUUGGCAAGGCCAUCUGCCAGGUGGUCAUGACUGUGGAUGGCAUCAAUCAGUUCACCAGCAUUUUCUGCUUGACAGUCAUGAGCACUGAUUGUUACCUGGCUGUGAUCCACCCUAUCAAGUCAGCCAAGUAGAGGAGGCCCCGGACAGCCAAGAUGAUCAAUGUGGCAGUGUGGGGAGUUUCUCUGCUGGUCAUCUUGCCUAUCAUGAUAUAUGCUGGGCUUUGCAGCAACCAGUGGGGAAGAAGCAGCUGCACCAUCAACUGUCCAGGUGAAUCUGGGGCAUGGUACACAGGGUUCAUUAUCUAUGCUUUCAUCUUAGGGUUCCUGGUACCCCUCACUAUCAUUUGUCUUUGCUACUUAUUCAUUAUCAUCAAAGUGAAGUCCUCUGGAAUCCGAGUGGGUUCCUCCAAGAGGAAGAAAUCUGAGAAGAAGGUCACUAGAAUGGUGUCCAUCGUGGUGGCUGUCUUCAUUUUCUGCUGGCUCCCUUUCUAUAUAUUCAAUGUCUCCUCCGUCUCUGUGGCCAUCAAUCCCACCCCAGCCCUUAAAGGCAUGUUUGACUUUGUGGUGGUCCUCACCUACGCUAACAGCUGUGCCAACCCCAUCCUUUAUGCCUUCUUAUCUGACAACUUCAAGAAGAUCUUCAAGAAUGUCCUGUUCUUGGUCAACUUGAGUGGCACAGAUGAUGGGGAAAGAAGUGACAGUAAGCAGGAUAAAUCCCGGCUGAAUGAGACCACGGAGACCCAGAGGACCCUCCUCAAUGGAGACCUCCAAACCAGUAUCUGAACUACCUGGAAAACAAAAGCACAAAGGAGCCACGCUCUGCCUCUGGCAAUUGGCUGUAUCCUCAGACCCUCUUCCUCCCACCCAUCAUUUCUAGAAUAAAGGGUUGCUCAGCAUGGCUCAAUUCAGAGACUAGGGUUUGAGCUGGUCUGACUGAAUGGUAAUGUACCACAUUGAUUACCUCCCCCUUAAGGUGACAGUUAAAUCCAGGCAGACAAUUCAGAGUCUGGGGAAGAGGAGAUCAUGCCUGGGUAUGAGCCUGAGAAAUGCUGAAGCUCAAAAACAAAACAAAACAAGCAAACAAACCCCUACAUAUGUAUUCGUGUGCUUGUGUGCUUAAAAACCAAUAUGUAAUCUUGUGUUCUGAUAUUUAUACUUGUAUUAUUUCUAUGUAUUCUUUGUAUAGUUGUUACCUUUGUUUUCUCCACCCACGUUUGCAAGGAGCAAGUGAACUGUACAUAGCAUACAUGGACAUUUACCACAAUACAGAACUGAAGAAAUGGACUUAGCAUGAAGCCAACAAAGUCUAAGCUUCACGGAUCCCUCCAGAAGUAUGGUCAUGUGCUUAUGACUUGUUAAAAAAAUUGUGAAAGUAAAAAAUUUUUGUAUUUUUUUCUCUUAGGAGGCCCCCUAAAUUGUAUAAACUUCCAGUCUCACAAAAUCCACCUCUGCCCUAGAGUAUUUGGGUCAUUAAAUUCAGGAAAGUUAGGUCAAGGUAAAGACAAGAUGGGAGAAGACACCUGAAGACCCCAAAUACAAAUUUAUGAGUUUCUUCUUCUUAGAUGCAAUCAGUUAUUCAUUUACCCAAAAAGACUUAAGUGGUUGUGGUCAACAAUCAUUGCAUUUAUCAAGAUAAAGCUGGCUUUGUUAUAAGACUGCAUUUUUCUUCUCAACUGGUUUGGGCUUCCUUAGGAAGUCACAGAGGGAAAAAUCACUAACCUGAAAGGAAAAAAAAGAAGAAAGAAAGAAAGACAAACUAGUAUGAUUCUUGUGUAGAAGCAACUUUUUUUUCUCCUUCCCACCAUGAAAAUAAUUAAGGAUGAAGCAAAAUUAUCCCUUCAUAAGAAACUAUGUAAAAGGUUUUUUCUUUUAAUGUUGGACAUGACUUUCUAAGCAAAGAAAAUGAAAAUGUAAUUCAACAACCCCUCAAAGAGUUUUUUAAAGAAUUUUAUACAAAAUUAGGCAUUAAGAAAAUCACAAUGCAUGUUAAAGAUCUGAGUACAUUAUUCAUAAAACAAAAACACUCACACCAGCCAAUAACUCUGCAGCAUGGAGGGAGGUUACAGGGUGAGUGUGUGUGUACUGAAAGUGGCCCCAUCUUGGGAGAUUACUACCCUGCCUUCUUCACUGACCGUAUACAUGUUAAGCAUUCCAGGUAUUCUAACUUUAAUGUGAUGGAUUCUCUGCGCUUCAUCUCCUCCUGCUCAGAACUUUUGUUCCCAGACUGUUAGACAGGUUUAUGUACAAGUGUUAAGAAGACACAAUGUCUCAUUUUGUGGACUGAUCACAGUUGCCAGGAUUAUGAAGAAAUAUACACCCAGUACUUGCAAGAUGCCACCAUCUCUGUGUUUAUAUGAAAGUAUGGCUCAUACCAUCUUGCAUAUAGACUAUACCAUAUUUACAAAUGAGCUUUUCCCUUCCGGUUCUCUAAGCAAGAGUUGUUUGAAAGUCAGAAUGACUCAGUGUUCCACCUGUGGCUUCCUUGUUAACACAUUGCUUUUAUUCCCUCUGCCUACACCAUUCACCUCAUUCCCCAAAGUACUUGAUUUAAGAAAUAUGUUCAAUAAGAUUUAUGGUAGACAAAUAAACCCAUGCAAAAAUAAAAAGAGGUACAAGUAUGAAACAAGACCAUAAGGAAAUUUGUUACAAGAAAAUUGCAUGUGCACAAUUGCAGGGACCAGGGUACUGUUGAUAGGAAAAACAUAGGAUGACAGCCCCAUUGAGCUUUAUUAAAUAUUAGUAGGCAGUUUUGACCUCUGCAGCCAGACUCUAGCAAUUAGAAAGGCAAAGGCAGCUAGACCUGAAGGAAUUAGACAAAAACAGCUAAACUCAAACAUUUAGGAUGACAAAGAACUCAGGCCAGGAAGAAAGAAUCUCAGACUUCCCGCUUCACUUAAUCCUUCAGCCUAAUGACCUGUCCCUGAAACCUCUUCCCAUAACCUUACCCUCCACCAAAGAACGGGGAAAGGUCACAGUGCUGGAAGAAACCCAAGGUUAAAAGGAAAGACAAGCCAGGAACUCAAUCAAAUUCCAAGAGCCUACCUGGGCCAAGGGUCUCAAUAAAAGGACCUGUAGACAAAUUCAUGAACAAUUCACUUUUGGAUUCUCCCUACUCAUUCUGAGUAGCUAUCUGCAAUCUCUCUUUUCCUCCUUUACCAUCUUCAAGUAAAUUGUCUUCUUGUAUUUUAAA